rnacentral:rRNA from 1 species
CCUACGGGUGGCUGCAGUGAGGAAUAUUGGUCAAUGGGCGCGAGCCUGAACCAGCCAAGUCGCGUGAGGGACGACGGCCCUACGGGUUGUAAACCUCUUUUGCCGGGGAGCAACGGGCGCCACGUGUGGCGCCACUGAGAGUACCCGGAGAAAAAGCAUCGGCUAACUCCGUGCCAGCAGCCGCGGUAAUACGGAGGAUGCGAGGGUUAUCCGGUUUUAUGGGGUUUAAGGGGUGCGUAGGCGUAGGUUUAAGUCAGUGGUCAAAUUGAGGGGCUCAACCCCUUCCCGCCAUUGAAACUGGCGCUCUUGAGUGGAAGAGAGGUAUGCGGAAUGCGUGGUGUAGCGGUGAAAUGCAUAGAUAUCACGCAGAACCCCGAUUGCGAAGGCAGCAUGCCGGCUUCCUACUGACGCUGAAGCACGAAAGCGUGGGGAUCGAACAGGAUUAGAUACCCCUGUAGUC